rnacentral:rRNA from 1 species
UACGUAGGGUGCAAGCGUUAUCCGGAAUUAUUGGGCGUAAAGAGCUCGUAGGCGGUCUGUCGCGUCGGUCGUGAAAACUUGGGGCUUAACCCUGAGCUUGCGGUCGAUACGGGCAUGACUGGAGUUCGGCAGGGGAGACUGGAAUUCCUGGUGUAGCGGUGAAAUGCGCAGAUAUCAGGAGGAACACCGGUGGCGAAGGCGGGUCUCUGGGCCGAUAUCGACGCCUGAGGAGCGAAAGCGUGGGGAGCGAACAGG